rnacentral:rRNA from 1 species
AUACGUAGGGGGCGAGCGUUGUCCGGAAUGACUGGGCGUAAAGGGCGUGUAGGCGGCCGAUUAAGUCUGGAGUGAAAGUCCUGCUUUCAAGGUGGGAAUUGCUUUGGAGACUGGUUGGCUUGAGUGCGGAAGAGGUAAGUGGAAUUCCCAGUGUAGCGGUGAAAUGCGUAGAGAUUGGGAGGAACACCAGUGGCGAAGGCGACUUACUGGGCCGUAACUGACGCUGAGGCGCGAAAGCGUGGGGAGCGAACAGGAUUAGAUACCCUGGUAGUCCACGCGGUAAACGAUGAAUGCUAGGUGUUGCGGGUAUCGACCCCUGCAGUGCCGGAGUAAACACAAUAAGCAUUCCGCCUGGGGAGUACGGCCGCAAGGUUGAAACUCAAAGGAAUUGACGGGG